CUUUAGUUUCCAUUAAUAAGUGACGAUGUUGUGUCUAUUUUUAUCGAUAAAUAAAAACUCCGUCGUUGUAUGGGACUUAUGUAAAUAAAACCAUUAGUUUGGGUACUUGGCAUACGGGUGUAAGCCUCAGACGCGAUAGUCUCAGCUGGUCGCUGAGAGUCCAAGAGGUUUGAGGUGUGGGGGAGCCUGGAAUGGGGCUGGAGAGGAGCCCGACAUGUUGUUGUUCAGGUCACCAGCUCGGCUUGAACCGUUUAUCAACCCGCCCAUUGCACUACUCGUCUGUUGUAAAAUAUGCUCAUUAGUAUAAUGCUUAUUAUAAAACGUGUAUCAAGUGUCUCCUGUCACCCGACCACCUCAAGGAGGACAAUGCGGUCCCACAAACGCCAACAUUGACAAUUCACUGGAAUUGGAGAAUUAGUUUAUGAAUUGUUUGGCUUUAUGCUUAUUUACAAUAAUAGAGGGAUACUAGUUAGAGUAAUCUAUGAAUCGAAAAGUGCAUUUACUUUGCAGACGUAAUUGUAAAUGUUUCAUAUUUGAGUUUUCCCGUUUUCACACGAAUGAUAUA